rnacentral:rRNA from 1 species
CCUGGUCUAGUCCUUAAACUAGAUUAUGAGAAGGCUUUUGAUAAAGUCAAUCUAGAUUUCCUUAUGGAAAUCCUGGAGAAAAGGAACUUUGGGCCUAAGUGGAGGAAGUGGAUCUACCAAAUCACCCACUUAGGGUCUGUAGGGGUUAAAAUUAAUGGAGUAGAAGGUAACUUUCUCAGCACUGGAAAAGGACUGAGGCAGGGGGAUACCAUUUCCCCUCUCCUGUUCAAUUUAGUGUUAGACGUUCUUAGCAAAAUGCUU